AUUUCUGUAAUUUAAAUUAAAAUAUUUUAUUUUCAUUAAAAAUAUGAUUUAUUAGAUAGUCCUGAAAUU
rnacentral:tRNA from 1 species